UGUGGGUAAAAAAAAUAAAAACAUCCCCUAAACCGUUAACCAGCCCAGUGGCUCAGCCGGGUUAAAGCUCACCAGGGCAGAGGUGCCUUUCAGCCUGGUCUGAGUGGCCCGUGAGUCCGAGUCGCCCCCCCUCGGAGGUGGGUGGGUGGGUGGGGGGGGGUGGGGGGGGCCCGAUGGCUCUCCGGCUGGACGGAGAGUUCACACGGCUCCAGACGGGGGACGCUGUGGGCCCGUCUGGAAGCGUUUAGCCUCACCCUUCGCCUCCUCCCCUCCCUCCCCCAUGGCUGAUAUACAACCUCCUCUUUACAGCCUCACAGCCGCCACCAUCGGCCGUUUGAUCUCCCCGUCACUCUCAAACUCUCUCCCCCAUUCAUUCUCUGUCUCCCCGCCCUCUCUCUUCCCCCCCCCCCCCCCCCCUCGCUCCUUCUCCUGCGCGCACAAAAGCGCAACACUUUGACCAUCGCAGUCUAAGCGCUAAACGGGUCAAAGCUCACCUUCCCGAUGGACACCAUGAGCUUACAAACUAGGAACACUCCGUUUUAUUUCCUCCCCACGUUUCAAAGGCUAGACGAGACAAUAUGUAAAAAGAGAGAAUGCAAUACAAAUAGGGCUAGAUAAACAAAUGCAAAAUCGCCUACAGGUUGUGACAGGCAAUGUUGCGCACUGAAUUACGUAAGGCUAUGUGCACCUCGUCGAACGACCAAACACGAAGGCCACUCCCCAACCAGGAAUGCUAGACAACAAUCUCCACACACACACACACACACACACACACACACA